GACAGAUGUGUUUAAAAACCUUUUGGAUGUGGUGCUCAGGGACAUGAUUUAGCGGAGGGUUGUUAGAUUUAAGGUAGUACAGUUAGGUUGUGGUUGGACUUGAUGAUCUUGAAGGUCUUUUCCAAUCUGAGCAAUUCUAUGACUUUUCAUACACAGAUGGAGCCAUGAACCCUUUUUCACUACUAUCUUCACACCUGCCUCUUGUAAGAGGGUGAGGGAAUCCCAAAUUAGUCCUGCUGCCCAUAACUUAACAGCUCCCAAACUCAUACCCUAAUCUUCAAACAAAAUUAUGACAGAGAGCUUACUCAUUCUUUCUCUCGCAGUCUGAUUUAUCAAGGAAUUUGCUCAAGGGGAGCAUCUAGUCUAUCAAGGAAAUGAGUUAAACCUGUGCUCACAUCACACAAUCAAGGCAGAAGCCCAGCUGAGUUGGCACAGGUAAAAGUGAUAAAGAAGAAGUUGGUAAAAAGAGUGAAGAUACUUUAAGUGCUCUUUAGGUUGGGGUAAAAGUAUAGCAAGAAGUAUGGUAAAAUAUUUUUUAAAAUAAUUUUGUUCUUUUCUCUGUGUUCCUUGUUUUCUUUUAUGUAGUUAAUGCAGUGUAUUUGAGGUAACUGCAGAUCAUACAGUAGGUUGGUGUUUAGGGAAUUAACCUGGACCACAAAAGCAGUAGAUAAACUGGGGGAAGGAGUCCUUACACAGAAAAGAGUUUUAAAAUCACAGUGGUUUGAAGUGAUCAAUCUCUGUCAUGUUUCUGGAUGGGCUGAAUCAGCUGCUUCAGUAGAGAGUAAGCAGUUUAAGGAAGGAAAGAGGACCGUUCUCUCUGUCUCCGUCUGUGCAUCUGAAGAUCCAUAGCAGACUCUGCAAUUAUUUGCUGAUGGCCACACAAGCUGCUGCAGAGAAAACUAACUCUGUUCCAGGCAGAAUCACUACAGGAUCACAUCUUUUUAAAAGGCAUCUAUUUUCUGUGCUGUUAAUGCUGGUGUAACUUGCAUAGAGACCUGCUUUGCUGCAG
rnacentral:lncRNA from 1 species